rnacentral:rRNA from 1 species
AUUGAACGCUGGCGGCAUGCUUUACACAUGCAAGUCGAACGGUAACAGGCCGCAAGGUGCUGACGAGUGGCGAACGGGUGAGUAAUGCAUCGGAACGUGCCCAGUCGUGGGGGAUAACUACUCGAAAGAGUAGCUAAUACCGCAUACGAUCUAUGGAUGAAAGCGGGGGUCCGUAAGGCCUCGCGCGAUUGGAGCGGCCGAUGUCAGAUUAGGUAGUUGGUGGGGUAAAGGCUCACCAAGCCAACGAUCUGUAGCUGGUCUGAGAGGACGACCAGCCACACUGGGACUGAGACACGGCCCAGACCCCUACGGGAGGCAGCAGUGGGGAAUUUUGGACAAUGGGCGCAAGCCUGAUCCAGCAAUGCCGCGUGCAGGAAGAAGGCCUUCGGGUUGUAAACUGCUUUUGUACGGAACGAAACGGCUCUGGUUAAUACCCGGGGCUAAUGACGGUACCGUAAGAAUAAGCACCGGCUAACUACGUG